rnacentral:lncRNA from 1 species
UGUUUCAACCCUGUGUCAAACUCUCCAUUUCUUAGCCUAAACCCCAGCCCUAUGUGAUGCCUCCCCCACCGCAGCUGCACUAUAAUGGACAUUAUACAGAACCAUAUGCUUCUUCCCAAGGUAAAGUACACUGUUUCUGCCAUGCCUUACAUAGUUAUGACUAUGGAUAAAUCUGUGAAUGCUUGGAGAUCGUGAAGCCUGGACAGUUUUUGGCUGAAGUUGCACCCCAAAUUGCAUCAUGAUAAUAGCUAUCCUGGAUUCAUAAAAGAAGCCAAUAUAUUGUUUUUUGUUUGUUUGUUUGUUUUUUUUUUUUGGAGACAGAGUCUCAAUGUGUCACCCAGGCUAGAGUGCAGUGGCAUGUCUCAGCUCACUGCAACAUCCACCUCUUAGAUUCAAGCAAUUCUUGUGCCUCAGCUUCCCAAGUAGCUGGGACUACAGGCGCACCACCAUGCCUGGCUAAUUUUUGUAUUUUUUAGUAGACACGGGGUUUCACCAUGUUGGCCAGACUGGUCUCAAACUCCUGACCUCAGAUGAUCCACGUAUAUUUGGGUUCUUGAAUGUAUGUAAAAACAUGCAGUAUCAAAUUCUGAUGCUCCACUGGUCUCAAAUUUGGCCAAUGGGAAACUAUCAAGCUGGUUCCUGUGUCCUUUUAUUAACAUUUACUCUAUACUCUCUCUCUGUAUGGGGCUAUACCAAAUGCUAAGGAGGUUUAUGCAGAUGAGUAUUUCCACAUCUUAAGAAGUUUAUUUUCAGCCUGGACCACAGGGCCAGACCCUGUCUCUACCAAAAAAAAAAAAAAAAAAUAGCUGGGCGUAGUCGUAUGCCUCUGUAGCUAUCUGACACUCCAGCCACCCCAGCUUGCCUAGGGGUGCACCCUGGCUUUGCCAGUGCCGCUCUGCACCCUCAGGUGCCCUUACCCCAUGCACCCUUCCGUUCACAUGCUGCCAUGCAGACCGGAUAGGCAGGGCUAUGCUGUGCUGACAAAAUACUCCAUUCCAAACUCUCAGGGAAGUAAUAAUAAAGGUCACCUGUCCAUUGCACACUGCACUAGCAGGAGGGCUCUGCCCCGUCUGAGUCUGCUGUAGGGGCUUGAGCUGGAGAGGCUCUUCUCUCUGGAAUGUUGUUGGUCAGUGUUGCAGUUGGAAGAGAGCCUGGAAGCUGGCUUUUAACGCUCUGUGUACUUUCCCUUGACCAUUACUAGUCGCAUUGUUGUGCCUGAUAUCAAGGGGUGAGGAGGCGUAACCCUGCGU